UGUGUACUCCCUCGGUUCCAAAAUACUUGACUUCCAUUUGUCCAAAAGUGGAUGUACCUAUAUACUAAGACAUGUCUAGAUACAUAUAUAUUUUGACAAAUAGAAGGCAUGUAUUGUGCAACAGAGGGAGUAGAAU
rnacentral:pre_miRNA from 1 species